rnacentral:rRNA from 1 species
AUUGAACGCUGGCGGCAUGCCUUACACAUGCAGGUCGAACGGCAGCAUGGAGAGCUUGCUCUCUGAUGGCGAGUGGCGAACGGGUGAGUAAUGCAUCGGAACGUACCGUGUAAUGGGGGAUAACGUAGCGAAAGUUACGCUAAUACCGCAUACGACCUGAGGGUGAAAGCAGGGGAUCGCAAGACCUUGCGUUAUACGAGCGGCCGAUGUCAGAUUAGCGAGUUGGUGAGGUAAAGGCUCACCAAGGCGACGAUCUGUAGCGGGUCUGAGAGGAUGAUCCGCCACACUGGGACUGAGACACGGCCCAGACUCCUACGGGAGGCAGCAGUGGGGAAUUUUGGACAAUGGGGGCAACCCUGAUCCAGCCAUGCCGCGUGAGUGAAGAAGGCCUUCGGGUUGUAAAGCUCUUUCGGCCGGGAAGAAAUCGCACAGGCUAAUACUCUGUGUGGAUGACGGUACCGGCAUAAGAAGCACCGGCUAACUACGUGCCAGCAGCCGCGGUAA